CCAGCCUGGGCGACAGAGCAAGACUCCAUCUCAAAACAAAACAAAACAAAACAAAACAAAAAAAACAGGUCAUUUUCCUUAUAAGUGACACUUUGUUCUCUGAUUAUAAAAAUAAUACAUGAGGACAGGUGUGGUGGCUCACACCUGUAAUCCCAGCACUUUGGGAAGCUGAGGUGAGAGACUGCUUGAGGCCAGGAGUUGGAGAACAGCCUGGUAAACAUAGCAAGACCCAGUCUCUAAAAAAAAAAAAAAAAAAAUACAAAAAAUUGGCUGGACGUGGUGGCACACACCUGUAGUCCCAGCUACUAGGGAGGCUGAGAUUGGAGGAUUGCUUGAGCCCAGGAGUUCAAGGCUGCAGUGAGAUAUGGUCACGCCACUGUACUCCAGCCUGGGUAAGAUCCUGUCUCUAAUAAAAAUAAUACACAACAUAAAAAAUGCAAAUGAUAGAAAAAUGUAAAACGUAGAAAAGGUGCCCUGAUAACCAAUACUCACAGUAUUAUCAAGUUUGGUAUAGAUCUUUUUAGACUUUUGUAAUGUGGAUGUAUAAAAGUCUAACUAAAAAUAGCGGGUGUGGCCCGGUGCAGUGGCUAACGCCUGUAAUCCCAGCACUUCGGGAGGCCGAGGCAGGCAGAUCAUGAGGUCAGGAGAUCGAGACCAUCCUGGCUAACACAGUAAAAUCCCAUCUCUAUUAAAAAUACAAAAAAAAUUAGCCGGCCGUGGUGGCACACGCCUGUAGUCCCAGCUGAGGCUAAGGCAGGAGAAUUGCUUGAACCCGGGAGGCGGAGGUUGCAGUGAGCCGAGAUUGCGCCACCGCACUCCAGCCUGGACGACAGAGUGAGACUCCAUCACAAAAAAAAAAAAAAAAAAAAAAUAGGGGCUGGUUGCGAUAGCUCACACCUAUAAUCACAGCACUUUGAGUGGCCCAGAUGGGGGGAUCAACAGAGGUCAUGAGUUUGAGAUCAGCCUGGCCAACAUGGCAAAACCCCAUCUCUACUAAAAAUACAAAAAUUAGCCGGGCGUGGUGGCAGGGACCUGUAAUCCCAGCUACUUGGGAGGCUGAGGCAGGAGAAUCCCUUGAACCCAGGAGGUGGGGGUUGCAGUGAGCCGAGAUCAUGCGACUGCACUCUAGCCUGGGCGACAGAGACAGACUAGGUCUCAAAAAUAAAAAGUAACUAAAAAUAAUACUUACACAACUUAACAAUUUUAAACAAAUUGGUUACAGUAUGCAACAGAGGCUCCAUCUAAAAAAAAAAGUAACUAAAAAUAGUAUGUAUGCAACUUAAGUUUAAACAAAUUGGUUACAGUAAUUACAUUAUUUUGCAAACUUCAUCUUUUUAUGACAGUAUGUGUAGAAAAGAGUUAACAUAGCAGGCCUGCAGCUAUUAUCGUUAGAAAGGCCUACUUGCAAGGUUGGCCCUUGGCUGAUGUCUGGGAACUUUGCACUCCAACUGUUCCCUAAAAUGGUAAGAGUGACUCGCUGUGCCUAGAUUGUUUAUAUAAACCAUGUUGUUUAUGGUGAAUACCUGCUUUCUUUCCACUCAGGAUAGACAGAGUGUACCCACAUAACAAUGAAACCUUAAGCACCAAGUCUCUACUGGGUUUCCCUGAGCAGGAACAUUCCACCUGUGUUACUGCAUUUUUCCCUGCUGGAGAAAGGAGCAUACUCAGUGUUUCCCCUCAGAGGAGGGAGAAAGCACUGGAAGUCUGAGUUCUCCCGACUGUGCCUGUUCCUUUUUCCCUUCCGGAUUCUGUCAUGUGUCCUUUCACUGUAAUAAACCUUAGCCGUUGAGUGCAACUAUAUGCUCAGCCCUGUGAAUCCUUCUGGGACUCAACAAUCCUAAAUCACUGAAUGUGGCCUUGGCAACCCACAAAUCACAGAAUUUUCAGAACUACCUCAUAUACACUUCUUAGCAUGUUUCUGCAUUUAUUUCCUUAGGUUCUACUUUCCUAGAAGCAGAUCUGCCAAAUUAAAUGUUCUGCCAGGUGCACCUUGAACAAUGAUUAUGACUGUGACUGGAGUACUUCAACAUCCCUAUCACUGACUUCAAGAAGCCCUGCAUCUUCACAAGAUCUACAAUUUCAUUUUGCAAAUGAUUCCCAUGUAUUUGUCUGCACUGCAGGAUUUUGGACAAUUUACCUUUUUUCUCUCUGCCCUCCAUUUCUCUCACCUAUAAAACUGUGACAAUAACUGUAUUAUUAAAAUGUUUAAAUCGGCUGGGUGUGGUGGCUCACGCCUGAAAUCCCAGCACUUUGGGAGGCUGAGGCGGGCGGAUCACGAGGUCAGGAGUUCAAGACCAACCUGACCAACAUGGUAAAACCCCGUCUCUACUAAAAAUACAAAAAUUAGCCAGGCGUGGUGGUGCGCGCCUGUAAUCCCAGCUAGUCAGGAGGCUGAGGCAGGAGAAUCGCUUGAACUUGGGACGCAGAGGUUGCAGUGAGCCAA
rnacentral:lncRNA from 10 species